ACUCCUACGGGAGGCAGCAGUGGGGAAUAUUGCACAAUGGGCGCAAGCCUGAUGCAGCCAUGCCGCGUGUAUGAAGAAGGCCUUCGGGUUGUAAAGUACUUUCAGCAGUGAGGAAGGUGGGUAUGUUAAUAGCAUAUUCAUUUGACGUUAGCUGCAGAAGAAGCACCGGCUAACUCCGUGCCAGCAGCCGCGGUAAUACGGAGGGUGCGAGCGUUAAUCGGAAUUACUGGGCGUAAAGCGCAUGCAGGUGGUUUGUUAAGUCAGAUGUGAAAGCCCGGGGCUCAACCUCGGAAUUGCAUUUGAAACUGGCAAACUAGAGUACUGUAGAGGGGGGUAGAAUUUCAGGUGUAGCGGUGAAAUGCGUAGAGAUCUGAAGGAAUACCGGUGGCGAAGGCGGCCCCCUGGACAGAUACUGACACUCAGAUGCGAAAGCGUGGGGAGCAAACAGGAUUAGAUACCCUGGGGCUCU
rnacentral:rRNA from 1 species